rnacentral:misc_RNA from 1 species
CCCCCUACAUCCUUUGCGUCCUCGCACUCAUCAGCUGCUUUUUUUUUCCUUUUCGGAAUGCGCGUUACAAAGUUUGUGCUGCUGUGCCUGGCAGCAGCUCUACUGAGCGUAGUUAUCGCACUUCCAUCGAUGCCCGCGCCAGAGACGGUUGCAGAUUGCCUUGGUCUCGGGUUCGAGAAGGACGUAGUAAGCUGCCGUCUGUGCGCUAAGCUGCUCCUCGUGACGCAAAAUGACGAGCUGCGGAAAGAGUGCGAAAGCUGCUGCACAGCAGACAAGGGUGGCGCGGCUGAUGAUGUCACCUACGUGUCCGCCCGCAUCGAGCUCCGCGGUAUUGCCCGUGCAACUGCGCCGUCGGAGAUGAACUCUCUCGCCAUCUUCAAGCGUACGCGCCGUUUAGAGCCCUACUUUAAGUACAUCUCGUUUGUGGAAAAAUCCUCAAUGAUGUUUCCGCAAGUGGUACUCGUUGGUAGCGACCCGAAGGAUGACUUGACGAUGCACAUCACGGGCUGGUCUGCCGAAGCGCUCCACGAUCUCUUUAGGAAGAAGAUACGAGUGAACUGACCUCACCUUGAGGAAUGGGGUGCUCUUGACCAAGAAGAGGAAGGGGCGGCGCUGACUGCCUUCUUGCGCCGACACUUCCUUCCCUCCUCUCCGUCGAAGGCACACAGGGAAAAGCACACGCCCACAAAAGCGAUGCUCGGGGUUUCCAUUCAGGAUCAUGCGCUCACGAAGGAAGCACGUGUCUCUCCUUUUUUCUUGUAGGUGGGUGCGUGUGCGUGGGAAGCGGAAGAGGGGAGACCGUCCGGGACGUGCUUCUGUCAAGCGGACUUGUCUCUGUGGCAUCGGCAACCCUGCGAGAAGCUAAUACACAGAGACGAUGUGACCUCCAUGUCUGCUUUCGUUUGCUUGCAUUUUGCACUCCCGGACGACGAGGGGGGUGGAGGGUGCACCCCUCAGUGCGUCGUGUCGCAGGGCCCAGCACGCACCCCACUCUGUGUGUGUGUGUGUGUGUGUGUGUGUGUUUGUGGCUGUGGGGAAGCGAGCCAGCCCCCCCCCCAACCCCUAAACCCCUGCCAAAUGCCCCAGCCACCUCGGGUGGUGGCGGGGCCCAGCACCGACGACGUAGGGGAGGUCAGAGCGAUGUAUCGCUGCUGAUGUCGCUGCCGAGGUUGUGGAGGGCGUGGCGUCGGAGCGGCCAGCGUGGCUCGAACACAUCUCCCCCCUCUCCCUCCCCCUCCGGGGCCCUCACUCUGCCCAGCGGUGCAGGGAGCCUGCGCCACUCUCAAGGAGGGUGCGGCUGUGUAGCGCUUGGGACGGAGGCCGUACCCAGGUGACUGUGUUGGCGCAGUGCUGUACCGCGUAUGCCUACCGCUGCCUCGCGCCAGGCGAUGUGGGCCGGUGUGACGGGGCCGGCUGGAGGGGCGUGGAGUGGCGUGCAGCUCGCGUUGCACGGGCAGAGCAAGGGGCACACGCUGAGGCAAAAGCGGAAAGCAAUCUACGUACCGUCACAUGGUUGCAGCACUAUUCCGACCACCUCCACAUAUUACUUUCUGUCUGUCGUUGCUCCCACUGUCCCUCCUCUCCCUUUCCCGCUGCAAUGCCAG